rnacentral:rRNA from 1 species
GGUUAAGUGACUAAGCGUACACGGUGGAUGCCUGGGCAGUCAGAGGCGAUGAAGGACGUACUAACUUGCGAUAAGCGCAGAUAAGGCAGUAAGAGCCGUUUGAGUCUGCGAUUUCCGAAUGGGGAAACCCAACUGCAUAAGCAGUUACUGUUAACUGAAUACAUAGGUUAACAGAGCAAACCGGGGGAACUGAAACAUCUAAGUACCCCGAGGAGAAGAAAUCAACCGAGAUUCCGGUAGUAGCGGCGAGCGAACCUGGAUUAGCCCUUAAGCACUCGGUGAAGUAGGUGAACAAGCUGGAAAGCUUGGCGAUACAGGGUGAUAGCCCCGUAACCGACGCUUCAUCGAGCGUGAAAUCGAGUAGGGCGGGACACGUGAUAUCCUGUCUGAAUAUGGGGGGACCAUCCUCCAAGGCUAAAUACUCCUGACUGACCGAUAGUGAACCAGUACCGUGAGGGAAAGGCGAAAAGAACCCCUGUGAGGGGAGUGAAAUAGAACCUGAAACCGUGUACGUACAAGCAGUAGGAGCACCUUCGUGGUGUGACUGCGUACCUUUUGUAUAAUGGGUCAGCGACUUA